GUAAACUCUAUUCUAUUUUCUAUUUUUUUUUUCUAUCUUGUUGUUACUAUCAUGCUUGUUUGACUGUUUGCUUUUAAUGUCAAGCACUUUGAAAAUAUAUCAAUAAAUAUUUUCUUACAAUCAUCUCUUCUGGCAUCAAACAAUUCAUUUUAGUUUUUUGUUGACUGACUUGUAGACAUCUGCACCCUUUGACUUUGCUUCAUUUUAAGGGGUCACAAGACAAAAAGGUUGGGAACCACAGCCCUGGAUAAACAACACUACAAAACUGACAAGUCUUUCAAAAUUUCAAAAUCUUUACAUCACCAAAGUAGAAAUCAAAUUAGCAUGAGAAUAUGCAAGAUACUAAAGUUACAAUCUUUCAAAAGUAUAUUUUUUGAGAUUUUCCAUCAAUUUCUAAUUGUUUAAUGUUUAUGUCAUUGGAGGAUGGUUUUUUUCAGCCUCCCACAGAGUUCGUUUGGUCCUUACUGAGGCAGGUCUACAGCAGGGUUCAACCACAGGUUAUGUACCAUCCAUACAGCCUCCUUAUAUCCAGGUGAUGACAGUCUCUGCCAUAAGCACUCUUUGAAUUAAUCAUGAGCUCUUUCUUUUCUGAAUGGCACUUAUCUUUAUGAAACAGCCACUUGGCGGUCACCGAGGGAGGGCCCCUCAUUCUCAAGACUGACCGGCACCGCAGUGUGCGGAGGUGGAGGAGCUGGAGGGGGGGGCACGAUGACGAGGCCCCAAACGGGAUGCAACAAGUUUUCACAUUCCAGCGGCGACAGCUGCAUACAGUACAGGGAUCUCAGGCCCCACUUCAAGUCAGUCUACAAACUUUUCCUUAUCUGAUGCGGUCUGUAAUUUGACCACACAUCAAAGGAGGGACGAUGAAAAGUCAGAAAUGACUGAAAAAUAAGAAUGAAUAGGAUAAAGAGCGACCCCGCCACCCAGAAACAACCCCACACAACUUGAAUCCAAGUUUUGAGAAGAAACAUCUCAGACGUCACAAUCAGAGUGAUUGAUUGGAGUAACUCGGACCACCUGAGCCUCGUGUUCCUGCGUUAUUUCAUCCACUGCUGCAGCUCGUUCACUCUCCCUGCUUCUCCUUACAGGCACCUGUUCUGCUUUGUUGUGUUAGUUGUUUUAGUUUCUACACCUCACGCCGCUGACAUCACCGACAUCCACGCCCUGUACUGUAAAUAUUUAGUCUUUAAUUUGAUUUAAUUCGGCUUUAUUUGUUUCUUUAGUUACCCUGGUACCAUGGUGUAUCUCCUUUUUUGUUGUGGCCACUCGAGCCAGAUCAUAACACGCACUUGAGCCUCUCUCUAAGGAAUCUAAGAGCUUAUAUUGACAUCAAAUAGAGGGAACGUGUGCUUUUUUUAUGGGAGUAAACACACGGGGGAAAAAUGUAACUCUCAGCCUUUUCGUGAUUUGAUGUUUUUGGCCGUCUUGCACCUCAGCAUUGUGUCUGAGGUAUCUAGACAAAUGGAUUGAACUACAUGACAUACAAGUUAGGAUUGGAUUUUUUCGUCAUUUGUGUUAUUACAGCAGAACCCGUUUGUUGUUUGCUCCGGCUUCUCUAUCUUCUUACCGAAAAAGGGAACAUUUAGUUGGAAGCUCCGUUUUCUAAAUCCGGCCUCAUAAAUAUCACAUUAACUCGUCAUCUAUCUACUAAACUCUCAUUAAACGUCUGCGUUAGAAAAGAUUUCUGCCUUCAAGGAAGAAAAAACAGGGGGAGGAAUUCCUCGUCUUCAUUUCGGGAAUGUAGGAAUACGGUUUUCCAGUGGCACACAGGAAGGAGGUCUUUAGAGCGACAUGGUGUGUGUGUGUGGGAAGCAAAGUUAGGGGCUGAAAAAAAAAACAUUAGAGGAAAUUGGACUUAAAGUAGCUGAAAAUUAUGAGAAAAUCUCUUUUUUUCUCUCUUACACACUCACGCAUGCGAUUUUUCACUCUCGGCGUUUGUCAAAUGGCAUCUAAGGAUUUUUUUGUCUUGAUACACAGCGAGCGAGACAACUGACUUCAUCUUUUUUUCCAGACCUCUGCUGGAGCCCCCCGCUGCUCUUAAAGGUCAAAGGGCGAAAUGUCACGAGUCGGGGUCAGCACACAAUUUUUUAAACUGUGGAGUGGUUGAAGUGGCGGUUCAGUGACCAAGAAAGAGAGUCCAGAUACCGAGGAAUUUGUGUUUAAUGGGAAUUUUGUGUGUCUGUGUGUGUGUGUGUUUCAAUGAGAGGAGAGGUCAUGAGAACAGCGGCUCUGUAGAAGCAGAAAACACACACACACACACCACAAACACACAUCCCGACUUCCUUUGAACCAAUUCCCUUCUCCUCACAUAUAGCAACGACUGUGUUUUCCAGCUACAUCAAUUCAUUAAUUGGAUUUUAGCCCAUUAACAGUAAACACUAGUCUUUAAGCUGAACAUGGAGUCUCUUGGUACCUAAAAGCUGAGAAAUUCCUUCUUAUUGGGCAGAAAAAAGCCUCUUAAAGCAACAUUUACUCUACAGGACACUAAAACCUUCUUCUUAAAACAAUAGAAAUGAAAUACUGUCUAGACGGGGAGCCAUUUAAGGUGCAAUCACACCUUGAGUUUGGACUCUUUACGCUGAGCUAUAGCGGAAAAGUUUACUUUGUCAUACUUACAAGCAAACUAGGGCUUGUAAGCAAUGGAUUUACAGCUACGUCAUUUAUUGGACAGUUUUGGCAACCUGUCAUUCUGCAAGAUUAUAGAGAUUUAGGUGAUGAACUCAGGAGUUUCAGGACAACUUUAUGUGACUCUACAGCUCCCUUAAAGGUGCCUUUAGUCACCUAUUAAGUCAUGGUUGCAAUCUGUGUCAAAUUGCAUGAUAUCAGUUUUAAGGUAUGUCAGAUUGUGCGAUGAAUGGCAGCGCUAAUUUUUGUUAAAAUUGCAGAAUAAACUGAUGCAAGCAGAAACAUGUCAUUAACUCCCAUUAUCCAUCUGCACCAUACCAUCCAUACACAAGCUUUAUCUUUAGCUUUUACAUUUCUAUGCAUUGAUAAAAGACAGAAAAGCGGACAAAUGAACUGCUAUAUUUGCCAAGUGAGUCUGAGGUAAAUGUGUUUUUUUAGCGUUAGCCUUAUGUUAGCUUACCAGUGAAUUCUGUGUCAUUUAAUGCUGUAUUCUGACUGGUUGCUUUCCCUAAAACUGGGUUGUAGCAGCAGUCACAUUGUGAUGAUGUUGGAUAUUUUUAGGCUGUCUGUCUUUGAUCGUCAACGCUCUAAAUCAGCUGUCGGUGGACUCGCAGUACAACUAAGACCACUGUUCUUGAUUGACGGCUAAAGAUUUCACCAUGUUUCUCUCUAAUUUGUCAACUUUCAUUGUACACUUUCAACAGAACAAAAUCUAUCCAUGUAUUAAAGGAAAAGGCUGUUUGUUUCUUCUUGAUUGUGUGCAUGCUUACUGUUUUUCAUGCUAGCUUUGUCACAUCCGUUGUGGACAUUUAGGACACUGAGUCUCUCAAAAAGACAUAUUGAAGCAAGCAUCAACCUCCUAAAGCUUUCUAAAUAAAAUUACAUUUUACAUAAACCAUUUCAAGGGUUUAUUUUCUCUCUGUUGUGUUAUACUAGACUUUCUUUCCGUCUGUCAAAUGUCAACAUGUGUCUCAGUAUAGCCUUGAACGCUUGCGCUCUGGGGUCAUUUCCUGUUUUGGUUCAGACUACUUUCUUAUGAAGACUCCAAGUCUGCAGCGGAGAGGACGCAGACUCACAUUUGAUUUGUUUGGUAUAAGAGCAUUAGUUUAGUUUAGUUCCCCAGAAGGCAAAAACUCUAUGAAAACCAACAUAAAUCAAACUGUGAUAAGGGAUUAGUAACAU